rnacentral:rRNA from 1 species
AUUGAACGCUGGCGGCAGGCCUACCACAUGCAAGUCGAACGAGUGGCGGACGGGGGAGUAAUGUCUGGGAAACUGCCCGAUGGAGGGGGCUAACUACUGGAAACGGUAGCUACUACCGCAUACCAUCGGAUGUGCGCAGAUGGGAUUAGCUAGUAGGUGGGGUAAAGGCUCACCUAGGCAACGACCCCUCGCUGGUCGUGUAGGAUGACCAGCCACCCUGAAACUGAUACACGGUCCAGACUCCUACGGGAGGCAGCAGUGGGGAAUAUUGCACAAUGGGCGCAAGCCUGAUGCAGCCAUGCCGCGUGUAGGAAGAAGUCCUUAGGGUUGUAAAGUACUUUCAGCGAGGAGGCGUUACUCGCAGAAGAAGCACCGGCUAACUCCGUGCCAGCAGCCGCGGUAAUUC